AAAUAUGCAAAAAUUUGAAAGACCUUCAGCCCUCAACGACCCCCAAUCGACCAACCUCCGACGACUCUAAGGUAUGUAGGGGGGUUAAGAAUAGAAAUUUGUUUAAACUUUGACAUAAUUUAAAAAUUUUGAGUUGCCCACUUUUGAAUCUUUAGGCAUGCACGUUUAUUUCUCGCUAAGUUUAGAAUAUAUAUUACGAUGGUAUAGGUAGCAUAGGUAUAAACUGUUAGACUCGACAUUAGUAUGUAACGGGUAGCUUAAUAUAAAUUUUUAGGAAAUGGCGCCACUUAGCCGCACGAAUCUGAUGCGUAAUUUAUUGUGAGCUGUACAAUAGUUAUGCUUUCUAUAUGUUUUAUUUAUUUAAUGGUAGAGCAAAAAAAAUAUGAACAAAGCCACUAUUCACGAUGAACAGCGACCCCGUCACUGUUCACCAUGAACAGUCACGUGAAUAGUGACCAAAAAAAUAGAAUGAUUUUAAAUGAUUGUGAAAGUGUAUGUGUGUAUAUAUUUAUUUAUUUUAAAUGAUUGUUCAUGUAUAUCUUUAUUUCAAAUGAUUGUUCACAUGUAUAAAUAUAUGUGACCGUUUUUCUUAAAUAAUUGUUGAAGUGCGUGUAUAUAUACUUGAAUUGUAUUAAUUUAAAAUGUUAUGUGUUUAAUUUAAAUUUGCGUGAUAUUUGUUUAAUUUAAAUUUGCGUAAUAUUUGUUGCAAAUUUAUUUUUUUAUAUAAAUACACAAAUUUAAAGAUAUGAUGUAAAAUACAAAUUUUAUUUAAUUAAGUCCCUAAAUAUGCAAAAAUUUGAAAGACCUUCGCCACACAACGACCACCCUCCAACGACUCUAAGGUAUCUAAGGGGGAUAAAAAUAGAAAUUUGUUUAAACUUUUGACAUAAUAUAAAAAUAUUAAGUUGCCCACUUUUGAAUCUUUAGACAUGCACGUUUAUUUCUCGCUAAGGUUAUGAUAUGUAUUAUGAUGGUAUACGUAGAAAAUGUUAUUCUUAGUAUUGUUAUGUGAUGGAUAGCUUAAUAUUAAUUUUUAGGAAAUGGCGCUACCUACGCAAACGAAUUUGAUGUGUAAUUUAUUGCGAGCUGUACAAUAGUUGUGCCUUCUAUAUGUGUUAUUUAUUAAUUGGUAGAUCAAAAAAAUAAAUUCAUGAACAAAGUCACUGCUCAUGAUGAUCAGUGAUCGGGUCACUGUUCAUGGUGAACAGUGACCAAAACAACUAAAAAAAUGUAAUGAUUUUAAAUGAUUGUAAAAAUGUAUGUAUGUGUGUGUAUAUAUUUGUUUAUUUUAAAUGAUUGUUCAUAUAUAUAUCUUUAUUUUAAAUGAUUGUUUACAUGUAUAAUUAUAAGUGGCCGUUUUUCUUAAAUAAUUGUUGAAGUGUGUGUAUAUACAUGCGAAUUGUAUUAAUUUAAAAUGCUACGUGUUUAAUUUAAAUUUGCGUGAUAUUUGUUGAAAAUUUAUUUUUGUAUACACACACAAAUUUAAAGAUAUGAUGUAAAAUACAAAUUUUAUAUAAUUAAGUUCCUAAAUAUGCAAAAAUUUGAAAGACCAUAGCCACUAAACGACCAUCAAACGCCCACCCUCCGAUGACUCGUAUGUAAGGGGGUAAGAAUAGAAAUUUAUUUAAACUUUUGGCAUAAUCUAAAAUUUUUUAAG
rnacentral:lncRNA from 1 species